rnacentral:rRNA from 1 species
UGGGGGAUAUUGCACAAUGGGCGAAAGCCUGAUGCAGCGACGCCGCGUGGGGGAUGAAGGCCGUCGGGUUGUAAACUUCUUUUGCUCUGAACAAGGCAUGCCUUUGGGGUGUGUUGAGUGUAGGGGUUGAUUAGCGCCGGCUAACUACGUGCCAGCAGCCGCGGUAAUACGUAGGGCGCGAGCGUUGUCCGGAAUUAUUGGGCGUAAAGGGCUUGUAGGUGGCUGGUUGCGUCUGUCGUGAAAGCUCAUGGCUUAACUGUGGGUUUGCGGUGGGUACGGGCUGGCUUGAGUGCAGUAGGGGAGGCUGGAAUUCCUGGUGUAGCGGUGGAAUGCGCAGAUAUCAGGAGGAAUACCGGUGGCGAAGGCGGGUCUCUGGGCUGUUACUGACGCUGAGGAGCGAAAGCGUGGGGAGCGAACAGG